UACAGAGGUCUCAAGCGUUGUUCGGAUUCAUUGGGCGUAAAGGGUGCGUAGGUGGCGCUGUAAGUCGGGUGUGAAAUUUCGGAGCUUAACUCCGAAACUGCAUUCGAUACUGCGGUGCUUGAGGACUGGAGAGGAGACUGGAAUUUAUGGUGUAGCAGUGAAAUGCGUAGAGAUCAUAAGGAAGACCAGUGGCGAAGGCGGGUCUCUGGACAGUUCCUGACACUGAGGCACGAAGGCCAGGGGAGCAAACGGGG
rnacentral:rRNA from 1 species